rnacentral:rRNA from 1 species
GGCGAACGGGUGAGUAGCGCAUCGGAACGUGCCCAGUAGUGGGGGAUAGCUCGGCGAAAGCCGGAUUAAUACCGCAUACGACCCAUGGGUGAAAGCGGGGGACCGCANGGCCUCGCGCUAUUGGAGCGGCCGAUGCCCGAUUAGCUAGUUGGUGAGGUAAAGGCUCACCAAGGCAACGAUCGGUAGCUGGUCUGAGAGGACGACCAGCCACACUGGGACUGAGACACGGCCCAGACUCCUACGGGAGGCAGCAGUGGGGAAUUUUGGACAAUGGGGGAAACCCUGAUCCAGCCAUGCCGCGUGCGGGAAGAAGGCCUUCGGGUUGUAAACCGCUUUUGGCAGGAACGAAACGGCGCGCGCUAAUACCGCGCGCUAAUGACGGUACCUGCAGAAUAAGCACCGGCUAACUACGUGCCAGCAGCCGCGGUAAUACGUAGGGUGCAAGCGUUAAUCGGAAUUACUGGGCGUAAAGCGUACGCAGGCGGCUGUGCAAGACAGGUGUGAAAUCCCCGGGCCCAACCUGGGAACUGCACUUGU